CAGGCAUGACGAGCUGUUGCCCACUCACUCCCUUUUUAGCUCCUUAAAUAUUCUCAAAUUUACAGAAGUAAUGAAAUCUCAGCUCCAAACCGAUAUGCGUAGAAAACUAUAUCCCAUAUUUUCAUUUCUUAUUUCGCAAUAUGGCGAUCCCCAUUUCCUAACGCCCAUCUACUCAAGAUUACUCAACCAAUACUAAAUAUAAUUUGGUCACUCUGUAUUUUAAAGCGCCCUCUCUCUAGGAACACUACCCAAAAAAUGAACGCCAUCUGUUUAUGUAAUGAUGACGUCGAUUGAAUCCUCUCGACAUGUUGUUAACGUAAUAUUUUAUUUUUCUUAUCUGUCAUGUCCCUUUAAACAACACGGCAUUUUUAUUUAUUAUGAAUAUAAACCUGUUUGAAACAUUUGUUUUUGUUUUGUCAUCAUCAUACCUCAUGAUGACUCACUUUUACUUCCCAUGAAGUUACACCUGUGCAUCCAUUUAAGCAAGUGGAUGGUUGCGUUUAUUUAUAGAUUUCUGACCAAAUGUACAUAGUUUGAUUCAUUCAUUUCUAGGACUUCAAAAGUCCUAGUUCAUAUUAUAUCGGGUGCUACGUUGAAAUCGGAACAAUAAAUAAUUUUAAAGAGAUACAUUGUUUUAGCCAUUAGAAAUGUGCAACAAAUAUUUGGAGAACUGGUGGCGUAUUCCAAAGGGUUGUCCUAAGGUGAAUACAGGGACCAUAUUUAUUUUAACCAUAAAUUGACCUUCUUUGAGUAGCUUUGACAAUUUGAGCAGGAGUGUCGUCUUAUUUCAAGACCACACUGUCAUCUGGGAAGUAGGCCCGACCCCACGGGAGGAAGUGAGUCUCCAGUUUUUAUUUGCUGCAUUAAGAAGCGGGCGUAUUUUCACGCGAGUGUAACCUUCAGACCCCAUUUUCUUGAUAACUUAAAAGAAAA
rnacentral:lncRNA from 1 species